rnacentral:rRNA from 1 species
UACAGAGGUGGCAAGCGUUGUUCGGAAUUACUGGGCGUAAAGGGCGCGUAGGUGGCCUUUUGAGUCAGACGUGAAAUCCCCCGGCUUAACCUGGGAACUGCGUCUGAUACUGGAAGGCUUGAGUUCGGGAGAGGGAUGUGGAAUUCCAGGUGUAGCGGUGAAAUGCGUAGAUAUCUGGAGGAACACCGGUGGCGAAGGCGGCAUCCUGGACCGAAACUGACACUGAUGCGCGAAAGCCAGGGGAGCAAACGGG